rnacentral:rRNA from 1 species
AUUGAACGCUGGCGGCAGGCUUAACACAUGCAAGUCGAGCGGGGGAGGUUGCUUCGGUAACUGACCUAGCGGCGGACGGGUGAGUAAUGCUUAGGAAUCUGCCUAUUAGUGGGGGACAACAUUCCGAAAGGGAUGCUAAUACCGCAUACGCCCUACGGGGGAAAGCAGGGGAGCUUCGGACCUUGCGCUAAUAGAUGAGCCUAAGUCGGAUUAGCUAGUUGGUGGGGUAAAGGCCUACCAAGGCGACGAUCUGUAGCGGGUCUGAUAGGAUGAUCCGCCACACUGGGACUGAGACACGGCCCAGACUCCUACGGGAGGCAGCAGUGGGGAAUAUUGGACAAUGGGCGGAAGCCUGAUCCAGCCAUGCCGCGUGUGUGAAGAAGGCCUUUUGGUUGUAAAGCACUUUAAGCGAGGAGGAGGCUCUUAAGGUUAAUACCCUUGAUGAGUGGACGUUACUCGCAGAAUAAGCACCGGCUAACUCUGUGCCAGCAGCCGCAGUAA